rnacentral:rRNA from 1 species
ACUGCUCAGUAACACGUUUGCAACCUACCUCUAACUGGAGAAUAGCCCGGAGAAAUCCGGAUUAAUACUUCAUAACAUCAUGAAAAGGCAUCUUUUUAUGAUUAAAGCUCAGGCGGUUAGAGAUGGACAUGCGUACCAUUAGCUAGUUGGUGAGGUAACGGCUCACCAAGGCAACGAUGGUUAGGGGGUCUGAGAGGAUGAUCCCCCACACUGGUACUGAGACACGGACCAGACUCCUACGGGAGGCAGCAGUGAGGAAUAUUGGGCAAUGGGCGCAAGCCUGACCCAGCCAUGCCGCGUGCAGGAUGACGGCGCUAUGCGUUGUAAACUGCUUUUAUUCGGGAAGAAACCCAUCUACGUGUAGGUGGUUGACGGUACCGAAAGAAUAAGCAUCGGCUAACUCCGUGCCAGCAGCCGCGGUAAUACAGAGGAUGCGAGUGUUAUCCUGAUUCAUUGGGUUUAAAGGGUGCGUAGGCGGAGUAUUAAGUCAGCGAUGAAAUCCUGCAGCUUAACUGUAGAACUGUCAUUGAUACUGGUAUUCUUGAAUGCAGUUGAGGUAGACGGAAUGUGUAAUGUAGCGGUGAAAUGCUUAGAUAUUACACAGAACACCGAUUGCGAAGGCAGCUUACUAAACUGUGAUUGACGCUGAGGCACGAAGGCGUGGGGAGCAAACAGGAUUAGAUACCCUGGUAGUCCACGCCGUAAACUAUGAUUACUCGCUGUUGGCGAUACACUGUCAGCGGCUGAGCGAAAGCAUUAAGUAAUCCACCUGGGGAGUACGAUCGCAAGGUUGAAACUCAAAGGAAUUGGCGGGGGAGCAC